rnacentral:rRNA from 1 species
GAUGAACGCUAGCUACAGGCUUAACACAUGCAAGUCGAGGGGCAGCGCAGUGUAGCAAUACAUGGGCGGCGACCGGCGCACGGGUGCGUAACGCGUAUCCAACUUUCCCGAUACUCUUGGAUAGCCUUCCGAAAGGGAGAUUAAUACCUGAUGGUGUUCAAAUUCCGCAUGUUAUUUGAACUAAAGAUUUAUCGGUAACGGAUGGGGAUGCGUGACAUUAGAUAGUAGGCGGGGUAACGGCCCACCUAGUCUACGAUGUCUAGGGGUUCUGAGAGGAAGGUCCCCCACACUGGAACUGAGACACGGUCCAGACUCCUACGGGAGGCAGCAGUGAGGAAUAUUGGUCAAUGGUCGGAAGACUGAACCAGCCAAGUAGCGUGAAGGAUGAAGGUUCUAUGGAUUGUAAACUUCUUUUAUACGGGAAUAAAACCUCCCACGUGUGGGAGCUUGUAUGUACCGUAUGAAUAAGCAUCGGCUAACUCCGUG